GAAAUUUGUCAAAAACUAAAGCCAAACAUCGUGUUCAAUCUAUGGAUGUGAAAUCGGAGGAGAUUGAUAGUAAUGAAUCCGCCACGUCUGAGCCACUACUGGGAGAACCUUUUGUCACUGAUAACCUUAGCAGUGAACAACCACCAUCUGUAUUCAAACGGCUUUAUUCUUACGCUGCAGUAUACGAUGCCAGGCGUAAGCAGGUUAUUGAAAGUCAGGAACGUGAAUUGAAAGCAUUGGCGAACCAGUUUCGUGCCAAGGCAUAUACACCGCAUAACAAACCAGUCAAUCCGUGCAAAACAUAUAACUUCACAGUUCCCGUCACGCCGAAAGUGCUAAAACAUACAACUACGAAGAAAAACAAUGCAAUGGAGAAAAAACACACGGAUAGCGAAAACAACUCUUCGGGAUGACUUUUGUCCUCCCUAAGAGCCAUUCUUCCUAUUCGUUAGCUAUGGUUUAGAAUAAAAUUUUGUAAUUAAGAUGAUUUUGUGAAUGUAAUUUCACUUGAUCGUUACGGUAAGCGCGAGCGGGAGCGUGAACUUUUCCUCGCUGCAGAAGGCUUAGAGUUUCGGAUGGUCGACGGAGUAUUCGCCACCGCCGUCAUCGCGGUAACGGCUGCCCGAAGGGUGCUGAACACGGAUCUGGCUUCGGACCACUACUAAGCAAUCAUCUACUCUGUAUCUCACGCUGAAGCUGCUCCGCGCGCAUCGUUGCGGUCGAGCGAUAGUCCAGCGCCACAAACAACAGAUAAGCCGGAUGUGCCGAUGGAAAGUAACUUCGCUCGACCCUCGACUUCACCAGCGUCGAAUCGUCGGUGACCGCCGAUGAGAACUACGGUAAACUGUAAACUAAACCAGUUCGCAUAUAAAUGCUCGUUUGAAAAACGAUACUAAUUCUCAUGUCGCUGCGUCUUGCCAAAUAAUUGUCGGCCGGCAAAAAAUGAAACUAUACUUACAUUAGCCAUC